AAAUUGAAGAGUUUGAUCAUGGCUCAGAUUGAACGCUGGCGGCAGGCCUAACACAUGCAAGUCGAACGGUAACAGGAAGAAGCUUGCUUCUUUGCUGACGAGUGGCGGACGGGUGAGUAAUGUCUGGGAAACUGCCUGAUGGAGGGGGAUAACUACUGGAAACGGUAGCUAAUACCGCAUAACGUCGCAAGACCAAAGAGGGGGACCUUCGGGCCUCUUGCCAUCGGAUGUGCCCAGAUGGGAUUAGCUAG
rnacentral:rRNA from 1 species